rnacentral:tRNA from 1 species
GGAGAGUUGCCGGAGUGGCCGAACGGGGCGGUCUCGAAAACCGUUGUCCGACUUGUCGGACCCAGGGUUCGAAUCCCUGACUCUCCG